UACAGAGGUCUCAAGCGUUGUUCGGAUUCAUUGGGCGUAAAGGGUGCGUAGGCGGCGCGGUAAGUCGGGUGUGAAAUCUCGGAGCUUAACUCCGAAACUGCAUUCGAUACUGCCGUGCUUGAGGACUGGAGAGGAGACUGGAAUUUACGGUGUAGCGGUGAAAUGCGUAGAUAUCGUAAGGAAGACCAGUGGCGAAGGCGGGUCUCUGGACAGUUCCUGACAGCUGAGGAACACGAAGGCCAGGGGAGCAAACGGG
rnacentral:rRNA from 1 species